rnacentral:snRNA from 1 species
AGCCACGUGAUGAGCACAUAGCGAACUAUUGUUUCGCCUUUUACUAAAGAAUACCGUGUGUUCGUCACAAAUAGUGGCAUACGCCAAUUUUUGGAGGGUUUCUUCAUCUUGAGGGGCC